AGAGUUUGAUCCUGGCUCAGGAUGAACGCUGGCGGCGUGCCUAACACAUGCAAGUCGAGCGGAGUUUUAUUAGAGCUUGCUUUAAUAAAACUUAGCGGCGGACGGGUGAGUAACGCGUGGGUAACCUGCCCUAUACACAGGGAUAACAUGGAGAAAUCGAUGCUAAUACCUGAUAAGCUAACUUAUAGGCAUCUAUGAGUUAGAAAAACUGAGGUGGUAUAGGAGGGGCCCGCGUCUGAUUAGCUAGUUGGUGGGGUAAAGGCUUACCAAGGCGACGAUCAGUAGCCGACCUGAGAGGGUGAUCGGCCACAUUGGAACUGAGACACGGUCCAAACUCCUACGGGAGGCAGCAGUGGGGAAUAUUGCACAAUGGGGGGAACCCUGAUGCAGCAACGCCGCGUGAAGGAAGAAGUAUUUCGGUAUGUAAACUUCUAUCGACAGGGAAGAAAGAAAUGACGGUACCUGAAUAAGAAGCACCGGCUAAAUACGUGCCAGCAGCCGCGGUAAUACGUAUGGUGCAAGCGUUAUCCGGAUUUACUGGGUGUAAAGGGUGAGUAGGCGGUUAUGCAAGUCAUAUGUGAAAUUCUGGGGCUCAACUUCAGAGCUGCAUAAGAAACUGUGUAACUAGAGUACAGGAGAGGUAAGCGGAAUUCCUAGUGUAGCGGUGAAAUGCGUAGAUAUUAGGAAGAACACCGGUGGCGAAGGCGGCUUACUGGACUGAAACUGACGCUGAGUCACGAAAGCGUGGGGAGCGAACAGGAUUAGAUACCCUGGUAGUCCACGCCGUAAAC
rnacentral:rRNA from 1 species